GUCGUAACAAGGUCUCCGUAGGUGAACCUGCGGAGGGAUCAUUACACAAAUAUGAAGGCGGGCUGGAACCUCUCGGGGUUACAGCCUUGCUGAAUUAUUCGCCCUUGUCUUUUGCGUACUUCUUGUUUCCUUGGUGGGUUCGCCCACCACUAGGACAAACAUAAACCUUUUGUAAUUGCAAUCAGCGUCAGUAACAAAUUAAUAAUUACAACUUUCAACAACGGAUCUCUUGGUUCUGGCAUCGAUGAAGAACGCAGCGAAAUGCGAUAAGUAGUGUGAAUUGCAGAAUUCAGUGAAUCAUCGAAUCUUUGAACGCACAUUGCGCCCUUUGGUAUUCCAAAGGGCAUGCCUGUUCGAGCGUCAUUUGUACCCUCAAGCUUUGCUUGGUGUUGGGCGUCUUGUCUCUAGCUUUGCUGGAGACUCGCCUUAAAGUAAUUGGCAGCCGGCCUACUGGUUUCGGAGCGCAGCACAAGUCGCACUCUCUAUCAGCAAAGGUCUAGCAUCCAUUAAGCCUUUUUUUCAACUUUUGACCUCGGAUCAGGUAGGGAUACCCGCUGAACUUAAGCAUAU
rnacentral:rRNA from 1 species